UGGGGAAUAUUGCGCAAUGGGCGAAAGCCUGACGCAGCAACGCCGCGUGAGUGAUGAAGGCCUUCGGGUCGUAAAGCUCUGUCGGAGGGAACGAAUGCUCCUGAAGUUAACAGCCUCAGGAGGUGACGGUACCCUCAAAGGAAGCACCGGCUAACUACGUGCCAGCAGCCGCGGUAAUACGUAGGGUGCGAGCGUUAAUCGGAAUUACUGGGCGUAAAGGGUGCGCAGGCGGCCCCGCAUGUCAGGCGUGAAAUCCCCGAGCUCAACUUGGGAAUGGCGCUUGAAACUACGGGGCUGGAGUGUGGCAGAGGGAGGUGGAAUUCCACGUGUAGCGGUGAAAUGCGUAGAGAUGUGGAGGAACACCGAUGGCGAAGGCAGCCUCCUGGGCCAACACUGACGCUCAUGCACGAAAGCGUGGGGAGCAAACAGGAUUAGAUACCCGCGUAGUCCCUGAGCGGGCUGGCAAGGCGCAU
rnacentral:rRNA from 1 species